CUCACCAUCGGCAUACAUAUCAGAAAAUUUGGAAAGACCAUGUCAGCAUUUAAAUCUCUUCUUAUGCUAAAAGACCAAGACAUUUGAUUACUAGAUCAUUGACUAAACGACAUGCACUCUCUAGAUCAUAUUAUGUAGAGAACUUCAUUGAUAGUCACACAGACAUGUUCAACCGAGUAAAAAUUCCAAUUUCAAUAAGUCAUCCCCAACAUUUCCAUUAAAUGUCUAUUCUUCAAUAUUUAUUUUAUAUGUUUCUUUUCUACCUGCUCUUAGGAUAAUCUUACCUUAUUACUUGACUGAGGCAUGAGCUAAUUUUUCUUCUUCUUUUUUUUUUUCAGGAAGCCCUUGCAAAUUGAUGGUAAAAGCGAUUGUAACCAACCUAAGAAUGCAAUGAAAUCUUUAGCAAAAUUUGUCUUGUGAAAAGCUUUCCACGAAAAGAAGAGCAUUAGCAUUAUUUUUCUUGGCCUCCUCCGCAUAAAGGUGAAGUCUUGUGAUUGUAGUGAUGAGUUUGCAUGGAAUUGGGUAGACAAAACAUGACCCUAUUUCUAAAGUAACUCAUGUGAAUGUAGAAAUCUCAACAGUGAUAUGGAUUUUACGUUUUCUGAAAUAUAUAAUUAUGCCUCUUUUUUAUUAUUAUUAUUAUUUUUCAUAUAUAUGCUAUCUCAUUUCUUACUUUCUGCAUUUCAAAUGAAACAGUAAGGAGUGAAGAAAAAAAGGAAGAGGAAGGGCAGGAAUGAGGAAGAGAGAAAAGGGGGGUUGGCUUUUGAUUGAUGCUUUCUCUUGUCUAUAUAAAAAUUAUUAUUAUUGUUAUUAUUUGUCUCUGUUUUUGGUUUAAAAUAAAAUCUAUUUGAUUGUACAUUCAUGAUUGCAAAAUUUAUAAUUAU
rnacentral:lncRNA from 1 species